GACGAACGCUGGCGGCGUGCUUAACACAUGCAAGUCGAACGAAGAGCGAUGGAAGCUUGCUUCUAUCAAUCUUAGUGGCGAACGGGUGAGUAACGCGUAAUCAACCUGCCCUUCAGAGGGGGACAACAGUUGGAAACGACUGCUAAUACCGCAUACGAUCUAAUCUCGGCAUCGAGGAUAGAUGAAAGGUGGCCUCUACAUGUAAGCUAUCACUGAAGGAGGGGAUUGCGUCUGAUUAGCUAGUUGGAGGGGUAACGGCCCACCAAGGCGAUGAUCAGUAGCCGGUCUGAGAGGAUGAACGGCCACAUUGGGACUGAGACACGGCCCAGACUCCUACGGGAGGCAGCAGUGGGGAAUCUUCCGCAAUGGACGAAAGUCUGACGGAGCAACGCCGCGUGAGUGAUGACGGCCGUCGGGUUGUAAAGCUCUGUUAAUCGGGACGAAAGGCCUUCUUGUGAAUAGUGAGAAGGAUUGACGGUACCGGAAUAGAAAGCCACGGCUAACUACGUG
rnacentral:rRNA from 1 species